AUUUUAUUGGGACAAAAAGACAUAAGCGAAACUUUUGCGUGUGCCCCGCCUCCAAGAAUAUGUUAUGUCGGACCUGUAAAUUACUUCUCCAAAUAUCAGAAUCAGAAGUUCCAAAGAGCAGCUCCGGCGACGAUAAGAACAUUUUUAAGCGGUGCCUUCUGCCCAGGGUUGGCACUGCUCAGUUUGGAUUUGCUGUCGGCUAGGGUUUGUGACUGGUGAAGAGGUAGACAGAUGAUGACGAGAAAACCUAGCUGCUGUGCUAUAUGCGAGAACUCAAAUCUUGCAUCCAUUUGCACAGUUUGUGUCAAUUACAGGUUGAAUGAGUAUAACACUACUUUGAAGUCCUUGAAGACUCGCCGGGAUUUACUUUAUUCAAAAUUGAGUGAAGUGCUCGUGGCAAAGGGUAAGGCUGAUGAUCAACUCAGUUGGAGAGUACUUCAGAACGAGAAGCUUGCAAGAUUCAGGGAAAAGCUUCGUCUUAGAAGAGAACAGUAUUCACAAGGAAAGGCCAAGAUUGAGAAGUUGUCACACGACUUAAAAGUCAAAUACGAGUUGCUUGAAUCAGCCAUGACGACAUUGGAAAGAAAUCGUGUGGAAAAACUGGAGAAGUUGUACCCUAAUCUUAUCUGUACGCAGAGUUUGGGGCAUAUGGCAAUUACCUCUGAACGUCUUCACAAACAGUCUGUUGUUAUCAAACAGAUAUGCAAGUUGUUCCCACAACGUCGGUUGAAUUUAGAUGGGGAGAGGAAAGAUGGGUCCAGCGGUCAAUAUGAUCAGAUUUGCAAUGCACGGUUACCAAGAGGACUUGACCCCCAUUCAGUUUCCUCAGAAGAACUUGCUGCCUCAUUGGGGUACAUGGUGCAACUUUUAAAUCUUGUUGUGCACAAUGUUGCUGCUCCUGCACUUCAUAACUCGGGCUUUGCGGGUUCGUGCUCCCGAAUAUGGCAACGAGACUCCUAUUGGGAUGCCCGUCCAUCUUCAAGAAGCAAUGAAUAUCCACUAUUUAUACCACGCCAAAAUAGUUGCUCCAGUGGCGGGGAUACUUCAUGGUCUGAUAGAAGCUCAAGUAAUUUUGGCGUCGCUUCAAUGGAAUCUGAGAGGAAAGCCCGUCUAGAUUCUUCUCGUAGUAGCAGCUUCAAUUAUUCUUCGGCAUCGCCGCAUUCUGUUCAAACUCACCAGGAUUUGCAGAAAGGGAUUUCACUUGUCAAGAAAAGUGUGGCAUGCGUGACAGCUUACUGUUAUAACUCAUUAUGCUUAGAUGUUCCUUCUGAGGUAUCUACUUUUGAAGCAUUUGCAAAGCUGCUGGCCACGCUUUCUUCUUCCAAGGAAGUUCGAUCUGUUUUUUCCUUGAAAGUGGCUUGUUCAAGGACAUCGAAGCAAGUUCCGCACUUGAACAAAUCUGCAUGGAACAUGAAUUCAGCCAUUUCGUCAAGCACUUUACUGGAGAGUGCACAUACCCUUCCUGUGACGAGAGACAGUAACCUUCCAAGUUCUGCUGCCAGUUUUCUUGAACCGUCUGAUAUUGGAAAGAAUGAAAACCUUAUAGAAGAAUGGGACCUUGUGGAACAUCCCACUUUUCCUCCUCCUCCAUCACAAACUGAGGAUGUUGAGCAUUGGGUACGAGCCAUGAUUAUUGAUGCAACGAAGAAAUGAGCUGGUGCUUGAACACCCUGCUACUUUUGAAUGCAACCGCAUACUGAACUGGGCAUUGUUCCCAACACCAGUUUGGGUACAUAAAAUUAUGCCUUUGUCUGCUCGAACAAAUAUAAAGUGGAACUACGGCUCCGUUUGUUUGGACGUAAAAUAUUUUCCUGGAAAAUGUUUUACUUAUUUUUUGGGGUUUGGUUGUGCAAAAAACAGGAAAAUAUUUUACCACGUAAAACAUUUUACUUCAUAUGGAUGAAAAUGUUUUUUUCUUGAAAAGGUGGCAAGUCAUUUUCCGAACUUGGCUUCACUGCUCAACAAAUAAUUACGUUACUUUACUCGGCCCCCCACAGCCCCAAUCUUAUCCACCUAUGACCUAAUCAUGUGCUUUCUCAUCAAAUACGACGAAAUUUUGUAUGUAAUACUUACGUACAUACAUGUAUAUACAUACCUACAUACCUACAUUAUUUUACAAUUAUCAACCAAACAUCGGAAAAUAGAAACAAAACUUCAGUUUUUUUUGUCAUUUUACAUGGGAAAACUUUUACAUCGGAAAAUAUUUUACUUAGAAACAAACGGAGAUGUGGUGGUUAUCGGACAGACAAACAUUGAGAUGCAUAGGUACGAUUCAAAAGCUCUAAAGUCUAUUUUUCUCAGCAAACCUGGAUGGGAUGAGGGAGUUUUUGUUAAGGCAAACUUCACUUUGACCCGCUUUGCGCCAUGUGUGGAUGGCCCCUCAAGUUUCUUUGUGCUUCUGCUAUUUGUGUUGCUUCCGGUUUGUGUAUUUUGACAUUAAAUGGCAGCUUGUGAAUCAAAUCCACGCCCAGUUUAGUCCCUAUUAAUGGGAUUCUAAGGUUUGGGGAAGAUGAUGACUAUUCGAAAACUGGACAACAGGAUGGAGCAACAUGUAAAUCUUGUAAGAUGGCUGACUUAUUCAGAAAACAAAAAUGUUCCAAAAAAAAAAAAAAAACAUAAAAAAGAAAGUAUAAAGUAAAAAACGAAAAACCCUUGUGAGUUGAUUGAUUGUCACCCAUUAGACAUUGUGAAUAGAGGUAAUACUAGCGUGUAUAUUGAAGUAUAUGUAGAUUUAUAGUUGUCGUGCUGGUUCAUAGUUAUUUUGGAAUUAUCACUAUGAUCAAGAAUUGGAUUAUUAUUAUUAUUUUUUUUAAGGAAUUAGAAACAUAGAGUAUUAAUAAACCAACUAGUACAAAGGACUUGCGAGUGUUUAUUUACGUUCACCUGC